rnacentral:rRNA from 1 species
UACAGAGGGUGCAAGCGUUAAUCGGAAUUACUGGGCGUAAAGCGUGCGUAGUCGGUUAUUUAAGUCGGAUGUGAAAUCCCCGGGCUCAACCUGGGAAUUGCAUUCGAUACUGGAUAGCUAGAGUUCGGCAGAGGGAAGCGGAAUUUCCGGUGUAGCGGUGAAAUGCGUAGAUAUCGGAAGGAACAUCAGUGGCGAAAGCGGCUUCCUGGACCAGAACUGACGAUCAGGCACGAAAGCGUGGGGAGCAAACAGG